UACGGGGGGGGCAAGCGUUGUUCGGAAUUACUGGGCGUAAAGGGCUCGUAGGCGGCCAACUAAGUCAGACGUGAAAUCCCUCGGCUUAACCGGGGAACUGCAUCUGAUACUGGAUGGCUUGAGUUCGGGAGAGGGAUGCGGGAUUCCAGGUGUAGCGGUGAAAUGCGUAGAUAUCUGGAGGAACACCGGUGGCGAAGGCGGCAUCCUGGACCGACACUGACGCUGAGGAGCGAAAGCCAGGGGAGCAAACGGG
rnacentral:rRNA from 1 species